rnacentral:lncRNA from 1 species
UUAACUCUGGCCAGGCAAACUGCAGUAUCCUCUACAUAUGAUACUGCAACAUGUAUAUCGUUUUUGUUAUAGUCCAUUAGUUAGUAUGUGCAAAUCGUUCAACUCGACAUCAUCCUGAUGUCUAUUGUACAUAUUCUAAAUAUUUCUAAUAGUACAUAUUAAAAUAUAUGAUAUUAUCUAUCUUCUACAAAUGCCCUGAACCUUCAUUCAUUAAUAUUACAACAAUUUCAGAAGCAUAAUACUUUGACUAUUGGGCCCGUGCUUGCCACGGGCCUCCCUACCCUAGUAAAAUAUAUGAUAUUAUCUAUCUUCUACAAAUGCUCUGAACCUUGAUUCGUUAAUAUUACAACAAUUUCAGAAGCAUAAUACUUUGACUAUUGGGCCCGUGCUUGCCACGGGCC